UGUAAAAGGGACUUCAAGGCUCAGAAUCAAAAAGUUGAAGGGAAAAGGAUCUGCUCAACACAAUAAUCAAAAGGCUCAUAUCAAGUUCAAUGUAAAGGGGACUUCAAGGCUCAGAAU